AGUCACUGACAUUAGAUACCCCCGUAGUCCAGGGUGUAAACGCUGCAGACUUUGGUGUUUGGGAACCCUUCGGGGGUGCUCAGUGCCGGAGAGAAGUUUGUUAAGUCUGCUACUUGGGGAGUACGUCCGCAAGGAUGAAACUUAAGGAAUUGGCGGGGGAGCACCCGCAACGGGAGGAGCGUGCGGUUUAAUUGGAUUCAACGCCGAAAACUCACCAGCAGCGACUGUUACAUGAAAGUCAGGUUGAUGACCUUACUAGAUUUUCAG
rnacentral:rRNA from 1 species